AGUGAACGCUGGCGGUAGGCCUAACACAUGCAAGUCGAACGGCAGCACAGUAAGAGCUUGCUCUUACGGGUGGCGAGUGGCGGACGGGUGAGGAAUACAUCGGAAUCUACUUUUUCGUGGGGGAUAACGUAGGGAAACUUACGCUAAUACCGCAUGCGACCUACGGGUGAAAGCAGGGGAUCUUCGGACCUUGCGCGAUUGAAUGAGCCGAUGUCGGAUUAGCUAGUUGGCGGGGUAAAGGCCCACCAAGGCGACGAUCCGUGGCUGGUCUGAGAGGAUGAUCAGCAACACUGGAACUGAGACACGGUCCAGACUCCUACGGGAGGCAGCAGUGGGGAAUAUUGGACAAAGGGCGCAAGCCUGAUCCAGCCAUACCGCGUGGGUGAAGAAGGCCUUCGGGUUGUAAAGCCCUUUUGUUGGGAAAGAAAAGCAGCAGGUUAAUACCCCGCUGUUCUGACGGUACCCAAAGAAUAAGCACCGGCUAACUUCGUG
rnacentral:rRNA from 1 species